rnacentral:rRNA from 1 species
CAUGCAAGUCGAGCGAACAGAUAAGGAGCUUGCUCCUUUGACGUUAGCGGCGGACGGGUGAGUAACACGUGGGUAACCUACCUAUAAGACUGGGAUAACUUCGGGAAACCGGAGCUAAUACCGGAUAACAUUUGGAACCGCAUGGUUCUAAAGUGAAAGAUGGUUUUGCUAUCACUUAUAGAUGGACCCGCGCCGUAUUAGCUAGUUGGUAAGGUAACGGCUUACCAAGGCGACGAUACGUAGCCGACCUGAGAGGGUGAUCGGCCACACUGGAACUGAGACACGGUCCAGACUCCUACGGGAGGCAGCAGUAGGGAAUCUUCCGCAAUGGGCGAAAGCCUGACGGAGCAACGCCGCGUGAGUGAUGAAGGGUUUCGGCUCGUAAAACUCUGUUAUUAGGGAAGAACAAACGUGUAAGUAACUGUGCACGUCUUGACGGUACCUAAUCAGAAAGCCACGGCUAACUACGUGCCAGCAGCCGCGGUAAUACGUAGGUGGCAAGCGUUAUCCGGAAUUAUUGGGCGUAAAGCGCGCGUAGGCGGUUUCUUAAGUCUGAUGUGAAAGCCCACGGCUCAACCGUGGAGGGUCAUUGGAAACUGGGAAACUUGAGUGCAGAAGAGGAAAGUGGAAUUCCAUGUGUAGCGGUGAAAUGCGCAGAGAUAUGGAGGAACACCAGUGGCGAAGGCGACUUUCUGGUCUGUAACUGACGCUGAUGUGCGAAAAGCGUGGGGAUCAAACAGGAUUAGAUACCCUGGUAGUCCACGCCGUAAACGAUGAGUGCUAAGUUGUUAGGGGGUUUCCGCCCCUUAGU